CAGCAGCCGCCGCGGUAAUACGUAGGUGGCAAGCGUUGUCCGGAAUUAUUGGGCGUAAAGGGCUCGCAGGCGGUUUCUUAAGUCUGAUGUGAAAGCCCCCGGCUCAACCGGGGAGGGUCAUUGGAAACUGGGAAACUUGAGUGCAGAAGAGGAGAGUGGAAUUCCACGUGUAGCGGUGAAAUGCGUAGAGAUGUGGAGGAACACCAGUGGCGAAGGCGACUCUCUGGUCUGUAACUGACGCUGAGGAGCGAAAGCGUGGGGAGCGAACAGGAUUAGAUACCCCGGUAGUCCCUGUCUCUUAUAC
rnacentral:rRNA from 1 species